CUAAAUAUCUGUAGUAGGCUAAGGAAUGUGUUCUUAAAAGAGAAUUUGUGAAGGAUCUAUUUUGCUUACUCAAGGAUCUCAUUUGCUGGGACACUUGUGUAGUGAAAGCAAAAGAACCAGGUGUAAGUGGAAAAACCCUUAGUCACUAAGGGUUGUUUGGGCUUCUCAGUGCUGAAAUUCAGGGGUGGCUGGUUUCCUCUGCCACGACGGAUCCUGGCCUGAUUUGCCUGGCUGUUUUGACAUUUUGUAGACCCAACAUAUAGAAGGACACCCGAGGGGAGUUUCGUACUCAAGUGGUCGCUAUUCUCCUCACACGUACCUUGGAGCGUCUUCGCAAGGUGUGAGGUUGGGAAGGCUGGGACACAUUCAUGGGGAUGUAGGAAAAAGCAGUGUGUCGGGAGUGCUUUUAGUUUCCAAUAGGGAGAGUCACUUUAAAGCUUUAUUUGUCUCUCAUGCCUCAGCUAACCCCAAGAGAAAAGCUUAGCUCAGGACAGGAAGCUCAGAGCGCCCAAAAGGAUGACAACACAACUCAGGGCUAUUUAUGUCUGCCUCUUACAUGUCCCUCUGUGCCAUUACCCCAAGGCUGAGGUGUGCUGGCGCUGUAGGGAUCCUGACUAUACCAUCAUUCCCUCGGAAACCAACAGGCCGACAUGCUGCACAGGCCAGGCCCACUGCAACCCGACCCAUGAGACCCAUGCUUUUCCCAGGCUACCUCCCUGCCCCUGGAGUUACAGAUGUCAGGAGCAAUGGAGCACCAGUGUUAGGAGAACCUACCUCCCCUGGCUCCAUCAAAGCCACAGACCCAUGAGAACCAUCCAGCCUAGCCUGAGCCACACGCCCGGAGGCCACAGCCUGUGUGCAGGAAAGUGAGAGGAAGUGGAAACGUGUGAGCAGAGGGCUCAAAGCAACGGGCUCACCACCGGAAAAAAAAAUAAAAAUAAACACGCUCAGAAAUAGUGUAACUGAUAUGCAAAGAAGAUCAAAACAAGGGUUUUAAAAUAUCUUGGCUGCUUUAGAGGGGGUAGGGAUGGUAAAUGAAGCGAGGUUGCAAAUGUAUGUUAGGGGAGGGGGGCGGUUAAGGAUGAUUGACAGCAGCCUGCCAGGCCAUGGAAGCCUGGAACCCAAGGGUACUUCAGACAAAAAU
rnacentral:lncRNA from 1 species